ensembl:lncRNA
CACAUUCCAACACAUUCCAACACAUUCCAACACAUUCCAACACAUUCCAACACAUUCCAACACAUUCCAACACAUUCCAACACAAAUAAUUUACAAACAAAGCAUUUGUGUUUAGUGAGUCCACCAGAUCAGAGGCAGUAGGGAUGACCAGGGAUGUUCUCUUGAUUAGUGUGUGAAUUGGGCCAUUUUCCCAUCCUGCUAAGCAUUACUUUUAGAUGUUAGGGAAAAUGUAUGGAGUAAAAAGUACAAUCAUUUCUUUAGGAAAGUAGUGAAGUAAAAGUAAAAGUUGUCAAAAACAAAAAUAGUAAAGUACAGAUACCAAAAAAAUACUUUAGUACUUUACACCACUGUAUGUGUGUGAUUGUGUGAGUCAUUGCAAGCAUUUGUUUGUUCAAGUUCCUCAUUUUUUAAACUCCAGAAUCAGUAAAGAUAGUGAAACAAUGACAUUGAUAGAGAGAGUAUACCUCUGAGAGGGAGAUGGAAAAAGUUGUAUAGAAGGAAAGACACAGAGAGGGAGAUAAAGACAGAGAAGGGGAGAGAGAGAGGUCUGACUUCCCAGUAAGAAUGUGAGGAAAACAGAGAGAGAACGAGAGAACGACAGGCAGAGAGAGGGAGAUAAAGACAGAGAAGGGGAGAGAGAAAGGUCUGACUUCCC